AACUAACCAGGAUUCCCCUAGUAACGGCGAGUGAAGAGGGAAAAGCCCAGCACCGAAGCCUGCGGCAGGUUUGCUGUUAGGCAAUGUGGUGUUUGGGUCGGCUCGUGGGACCACCACUCCACUCGAAGUCCAGCAUUGAGUAUGGUUACUGGAUUUGGCCCAGAGAGGGUGAAAGGCCCGUACGGGUGGAGUAUCAGACAUGUGAGGUGGUUCACCAGGUCGACCUUAGAGUCGGGUUGUUUGGGAAUGCAGCCCAAAGUGGGUGGUAAACUCCAUCCAAGGCUAAAUACAAGCACGAGUCCGAUAGCGAACAAGUACCGUGAGGGAAAGUUGAAAAGUACUCUGAAGAGAGAGUAAACAGUACGUGAAACCGCAUGCAGGUAAACGGGUGGCGUCAAGCUGCAAGCCCGGAGAAUUCAGCCGGCUAGGUUGUUGUGUAUGCGCCUGGCGCAUCCAUCAGUCAGAGUAUGAUUGGGUAGUCCACUAGUAGACAGUGGGCCUGUCCGCAAGGGCAGGAUAUGUGUACCGGGUGGGUGCCGGAGCAUGCUAUCCGUCUGGGGACUGUCUAGCCGGUGCACUUUCUCCGUGGUUGACACCACGACCGGUGGUAUUGCCAGUCUACUGUGUCCAAGUCGCAUUUAGUAGGUCCUUGUGGCCAACCGAGUGCGAUCACAGGCAAACUCAGUGAACGGCGUGAGGGUGUUUCGGCACUCUCAUGUGUUAUCGGCCACUGGUUGUCAACGGGCCUGCCCUGUGUUUGUUGUAACCGACACGGGGUGGUCCGGUGGGGCAUGGUGGUAAGAAUAACUGUGCAAGGCACCGGGGUUAUCGGCCUCAAAUGCGUCCUGCAUCCACGUUGCAAGUGUGUGUGUGUAGGUACUGUGUCGCUGCUGCCUGCUCGGUGCUGGGUGUGAUUGGCGUGUCGCCUGCGCAAAGUAGGCCCGCCAAUGGCUCGGUUCGAGGUGGGUGGUUGGUGGCGUUGUCGACGGUGCAGGGCGUGGUGGGCCUAAUAGU
rnacentral:rRNA from 1 species